rnacentral:lncRNA from 10 species
CCGCUGGCGACGAGGGCGCCCGCCGCGAGGCGAGCCGAGUCGAGCCGAGCGCAGGGCCGGGCUCCGGGCUCCGGGGGCGCCGAGGGCCCCGGGGGCCCGAGGGGCGCGCCGGGCGGGGCGGAGGUCGCGGGUCACUGCCGCACGGGCGUCUCGGGGCGCCUCGGCAUCUGCAGCCUUCUCCCCAUCCUUUCCGCGUCGGGGGCCCCGCAGCCCCGGUUCGGGUGAAGCGAAAGCAGCGUCAGUGGGAGCGGCGGUUCGGCCGGCGGCUGGGGAAGGUGGCGAAAGAGCGGGUCCACGCAACUUGGCUGAGACGGAAGCGAAGGCGCUGGAGCCCCCCGGAGCGGAGCCGGGCGCGGCUUGGCGCGGCGCUGCGGCGGGCGCUGCGGCGGGGCCCCGCGCUCGCACCUGAGCGCCUCGCCCUCACUGCCUCGCGCCAGGAAGGGCCGCCGGCGGCGGAGACGGGCAGGUCGUCCUCGCCGCGGGCCGGCGGGCAGUGGCGCGGAGCAAGCUUGGUGCCCGGGAGAGCCGGCCGCGCGGGCCCGCUCACAGGCGGCGCCGAGCCCUCGGCCGCGGGCCCUGCAGUCCUCCCGGCGCGUCACACGGCAAAGUUGUCUCCAGGAUCCCUGGGCGCCGCAUCCACGGGCGGGCGGCCGCAGCGCGCUUCGCCGGGGCCUCUGCUCCGCCCGCCUCCUCGCAGCCUCCCUCCUUCCCUCCGCCUGCCUGCGCGGCCCGGCCGGGCGCGGGGCGCCGGGCGAGGAAGGCGAGGGGGAGGCAGGGCCCUUCUCGCUCCUGUCUCUUCUGCCUGCCGCGGCGGCGGCGAGGUCGGCUCGAGCGCCGAAAAGUCUCGCAGCGUCCCCGGGUGCAGUGCCCUCGCUCGCGCUCGUACUGGCACCCGCCGCAGGGCCGGGAGAGAGCGGGCGGGCGGCGGCGGCGUCCCCGCGCCGGGCCGCGGCACGGAGUGCGGAGCUCGCCGAGGAGGAGUUCUUCUCUUUGGUCUCUCUUCUUUUACUCUCCCCGUUUUUUCUCCCAAGGGGGAAAAAAGCCGCACAAUCUCCGUAUGUGCGCGCGCGUUGAGAUAGACGUUGGCAGAAAAAAGGGGGGGAGGGAGGGUGUCGUCCUGCCCGUGCGAGAGGAGACGGUCCGUACCUCCCCGCUCGAGCUUCCCGGGGUGGGGGGAGGAGGAGAAAGCGGAAUCUGUUCAGGUUGGGGCUGCCCGCUCCCCGCGCUCACCCCUGCUUCCCACCGCUUUUUUCCUUUCUGCCUUCCCGAGAAGGAGGGGCGAGCCGGCCCUCUCCCCUCCCCUCCUCUCCCCUCCCACCCCCCGCAAUGCCGGGCUACUUUUGCUACCUCGAAACUUUCCCACCACGUGGGCGCCCCGGACCCUUGCCCAGCUGGGCGGCCGGCGGCACCGACGGGUUCCAGGCGCUGGACCCAGGCGCGCGGCCCGGAGGCCACUGAGCCUCAGGGCUUGAGGGGCUGGCAGGGUCUA